CCUACGGGAGGCAGCAGUGGGGAAUCUUGCGCAAUGGGCGAAAGCCUGACGCAGCAACGCCGCGUGCGGGAUGAAGGCCUUCGGGCUGUAAACCGCUUUCAGCAGGAACGAAAAUGACGGUACCUGCAGAAGAAGGAGCGGCCAACUACGUGCCAGCAGCCGCGGUGACACGUAGGCUCCAAGCGUUGUCCGGAUUUAUUGGGCGUAAAGAGCUCGUAGGCGGUCUAAUAAGUCGGGCGUGAAAACUCUGGGCUCAACCCGGAGACGCCAUCCGAUACUGUUAUGACUUGAGUUCAGGAGGGGAGCGGGGAAUUCCUAGUGUAGCGGUGAAAUGCGCAGAUAUUAGGAGGAACACCGGUGGCGAAGGCGCCGCUCUGGACUGAAACUGACGCUGAGGAGCGAAAGCAUGGGUAGCAAACAGGAUUAGAUACCCUGGUAGUCCAUGCCGUAAACGGUGGGCACUAGGUGUGGGUUUCAACUAACGAAAUCCGCGCCGUCGCUAACGCAUUAAGUGCCCCGCCUGGGGAGUACGGUCGCAAGACUAAACUAGAAUGAGUNAGNGNGNGCGAGCGACGACGAGAGAGGAG
rnacentral:rRNA from 1 species